rnacentral:lncRNA from 1 species
CCUGAGAACAGUGCCAGCAGCUGGCUUCGUGACAUUCUGGAAGCCCCGUGCAAUGCUGUCAGGAGCAUAGGGAUUUUACUUUAUCUCCCUUGCUUAUGCUCCACAUAACUGAAAUAUCUCACUGGAAGCUGCAGCAGUGCUGGCCCCUUGCACAGCCAUAUGUGACCACUGCAGAACAAUCAGUUGGAGAGACAGUUUGGACUACAUGGAGGGUGGAGAUAAGGACAAAGUGAAGAAUACACAGGAACCAGUGCCUCCUCCUGGAACUAUGCAACUCCAAGCUGCUUCCAUCAGCUGCUAGGUCCAGUAGGGAGGGACCUACUGAGAGAGCUAAUUAAAAAUGUGGUGUCCUGGACUCACGAAGCCAGAAUUGCUGAGGAGAUAGCCCGAGAAUCUGAAUUUUUAGCAGACAUUUUUUUAGGUACCUUACCCGCAGGAUCAUUUCUGUGAAUAUCCAUGAGGUGAAAAAGUCUGGGAAACACUGUCCUAGACAGGAAACGCCACGAAGUGUCUGGAUCAAAGAACAGACUAUUGCUCACAGAGCACCUUCAUAGCAUUGUUCCUCAUGCCCCCGUUGCCCAAGGGGAUGGCAGGUUGAGGACCAGAUGUACUUGCAUGUUCAGGGGAUGCAGCACAGAAGAGGAACUCCAAAAUUAUUAUUAUUAUUGUUAUUAUUAUUAUUUUUGAGAUGGAGUCUCGCUCUGUCGCCCAGCCUGGAGUGCAGUGGCGUGAUCUCGGCUCACUGCAAGCUCCGCCUCCCGGGUUCACGCCAUUCUCCUGCCUCAGCCUCCCGAGUAGCUGGGACUACAGGCACGCACCGCCACGCCCUGUUAAUUUUUUUUGUAUUUUUUUUUAGUAGAGACAGGGUUUCACCGUGUUAGCCAGGAUGGUCUUGAUCUCCUGACCUCGUGAUCCACCCGCCUCGGCCUCCCAAAGUGCUGGGAUUACAGGCGUGAGCCACCGCGCCCGGCCGAACUCCAAAAUUAUUAAACUCUGAGCGUCUGCAGGUGACUGACACAUCUGCGCUUCCUUUCUUCCAGGGUGUGGGGAAGAGCGAGAAAAAGAUUUCCGCUCUGGAAGGUAAACAAAUACUCUCUGGAGAGAGAAGAGGAAUGUCCCUAGCAGAUGUCUCCAGAGAAGACAAGACUUUAAAUUCCGCCAGGGAAAUAUACAAUGUCUAACUUCUAAGGCACAUUUGCCAUUCAAUCAUGCUUUAACCCACGUUGCCAGAAAUUUUUGCUCACUAGGUUUUGACUGUACAGGAAUGUGAAAAUAUUCAUGAAGAGUUGUUUUCCAAUGCUAAAGAAUUGAUGUGUUUUAACAGUUGAAUUAAUUGUAUUGAUUAUGAUCACACCUACUUUUUAUAUAUCUUCAUUUCUAACGUUUCUGUACAAUCCUGCCUUUCCACCUGAUAUAGUUAGGCCUUGUGUCAUCAACCAAAUCUCAUCUUGAAUUGUAAUCGCCAUAAUCCCCACGUAUUUAGGGAGAGACCUGGAGGGAGGUGUUUGGAUCAUGGGGGCGGUUUCCCGCAUGCUGUUCUCAUGACCAUGAGAGUAAGUUCUCAAGAGAUCUGAUGGUUUUAUAAGCGUCUGUCAUUUCCACUGCUUGCACUUCUGUGUCCUGCCACCUUGUGAAGAAGGACGUGGUUGCUUCCCCUUCCACCAUGAUUGUGUUUCCUGAGGCCUCCCCAGCCUUGCAGAGCUGUGAGUCAAUUAAACCUCUUUCCUUUAUAAAUUACUCAGUCUCUGUAUUCCUCUGCAGCAGUGUGAGAACAGACUAAUACAUCACCACUUUAUUUACUUUACUCUCUCCCCAUACCGAGGUUUUCUACAUUUUCUUUCUAGGUCUCUACAGUUUCUGCAAAGAUCCUUUAUGGAACUCUUAGGGAAGCUGGGAUGUAUAAUAAAUAAAGGGCUCUUUUCUUUGAGUCCCACACCCAUUUUCUGUGUAUAAAAAUCUUCAACUCCACUUUUGUCUGUUCUAUUUAAAUGUGUGCACAUUUCCUUCUAAUGUUGUAUAUGAAAAAGAGACACCUCUUAGCAGUCUUUCAUAGAGCAAAAUUUUUUACUUUGAUAAAAUCUAAUUUAUCAAUAUUUUUAAAUUUUAUGGAUCAAUCAUGCUUUUGAGGUUGAAUUUAAGAAUGCUUUGCCUAGCCCUAGAUCCCAAGUAUCUUUUAAAAAUUAUUUUUCUAAAUGCAUUAUUUAUGUUUUACACUUAAGUCUAUAAUCCAUUUUGAGUCCAUGUGUAAGAUUUAGGUUAAGGUCAAGAUUUAUCUGUUUUUGUUGUUUUCUCUAUAAAUGUCAAUUGCUCCAGCACUAUUUGUUUAAAAGCCAAUCUUUCCUCCGCUGAGUUCUUCCUAUAAGUUUGUCAAAAGUCAAUUUGGCAUCUUUGUAUAAGUUUAUUUCUGGAUUCUCUAUUCUGUUUUAUUGAUCACUGCAUCUAUCCCUCUUGAUUAGCUAGAUAAUAAAUCCUACAAUAAGGUAGAAUUCUUCCCACUUUAUUCAUAUUCAAAAUAUUUUAAAGCUAUUCUAGUUUCUUUUUAUUUCCAUAUAUAUUUUAGGAUAAUCUUAUCUAUAUUUACAACAUAUGUUGCUAGGAUUUUGAUAGAAUUUGUUUUAAAUUUGUGUAUCAAUGUAGGGAAGACCUGACAUCUUUACUAUUACGUUGAUCUUCCAAUCAAUGAAUAUGGUAUAUCUCUCAGUUUAUAGCUAUUGUCUUUAAUUUAUUUCAUCAUGGUUUUUAGUUUUCAGCAGAGAAGCUUUAUACAUGUUUUGUUAUACAUGUAUAACAAAAGAAGCCUUAUACACUGACAUUUUAUAUUUUGAACAAUUGUAAAUGGUAUUGUUUAAAAAUUUUGUUGUCUAUGAUAGAAAUAAAAUUGAUUUUUGUAGGUUUAUCUUGUAACCUAUGACUUGCUGAGCUCGCUCAUUAGUUUUUUUAUUGUGAUAAAAUAUACAUGAGAUAAAUUUCAUCAUUAUAAUCAUUAAGUUUAGACAUCAAUUGCAUUAAGUACAUAAAUGCCUUAUGCAACCAUCAUCUCUAUCCAUCUCCAGACCCUUUGCAUCACCCUAAAAUGAAACUCUGUGCCCAUUAAACAAUAACUCCCCAUUCUGCCCUCACCCCAGCCCUUGGUAAUUACCAUCCUACCUUUUAUCUCUAUAAAUUUAACCAUCCCAGGUAACUCAUAUAAGUGGAAUCAUGCAGUGUUUGUCCUUUUGUAACUGGUUUAUUUCACUUAGCAUGAUGUCUUCAAGGUUUGCCUAUGUCAUAGCAUGUGUCAGAAUUUCAUCCCUUUUUAAACUUAAAUAAUAUUCCACUGUAGGCAUAUGCCACAUUUUGUUUAUUUGUUCAUCUGUUGAUGGGCAUUUGGGUUGUUUCCACCUUUUGGCUACUGUGAAUAAUGCUGCUGUGAUCAUGGGUAUGCAACUGUCUCCUGGAGUCCCUGCUAUCAAUUCUUGUGGGUAUAUACCCAGAAGUGGAAUUGUUGCAACAUAUAGUAAUUCUAUGUUUAAUUUUUUGAGGACCUGCCAUAAUGUUUUCCACAGUAGCUACAUUGUCUUAUAUUCCCAUUAAGAGUUCCAAUUUCCUCACAUCUUCACCAAUACUUAUUGUUUUCUGUUUUUUUAAAUAAUAGCCAUCAUAAUAAAAGUAACAUGGUAUCUCAUUGUGGUUUUAACUGCAUUUCCCUUUUUACUGGAUUGUUUGUAAUAUUGCUGUAAUUGAGUUGUAGGAGUUUUUAAAUAUGUUCUGAAUAAUUAAUUUCUUAUCAGAUAUGUCAUUUGCAAAUAUUUUCUGCCAUUCUCUGGGUUGUCAUUUCACUCUCUUGAUAGUGUCCUUUGAUGCACAGAAGUUUUGAAAUUUGAUAAAGUUUAAUUUGCGUAUGUAUUUAUUUUGUUGCUUAUGCUUUUGGUGUCAUAUCCAAGAAAUUAUUGCCAAAUUCAGUGUCAUGAAGAUUUUCCCCUGUGUUUUCCUCUAAGAGUAUUAUAGUUUUAACUCUUGCACUUAGAUUGAUCCGCUUUGAGUUAAUUUUAGUAUAUGGGGUAAGACAAGGGCUCAAAUUUGUUCUUUUGUUUGAAGAUUCUAGGUCAUUUGUGAUCUUUAGGAUUUUCUAUGUAGACAUUAAUGUCAUCUUCAAAUAUGAACAGUUUAUUUCUUCCUUUUGUAUAUGUAUGAAUUUACUUUCCUUUUCUUGCCUUAUUGCACUGGCUAGAGUUUUCAGUACUAUGAUGAAUAAAAUCAGUGAGAGCAGACACCCUUGCUUUGUUUCUAAUCUUAGGAGGAAAGCUUUCAGUCUUUCAUCAUUAGGUAUACUGUUAGUUGUAGGCUUAUUAUAGAUGCUCUUUAUCAGGUUGAGGCAGUUUCCUCCUUGGUUAAGACUUUCUAUUUUUCAUUUUCAGUUAUGACCAGGCAUGUUCAUAACUGCUCAUCAAAACUUUGAAUUAGUGGCUGCUUUAACAUCCUUCUCAGACAAUUCUAACAUCUGUUUUGUUGGUGGUGGCAUCUAUCAAUUGUCUUUUUCAUUCUGUUUGAGAUCUUCCUUGCGUUUGGUAUGAUUUUUUUAAAUAUUAUGUCAUGAAACUGCAUCUUAUUUAAAUCUUCUGUUUUAGUUGGCUAUGUCUGACAUCACUUCCCCAGGGGAAGGUGUUGUUACUGCUAGUGGAGGGUGAGAAUUAUGGCUCUCCACUGACAUUGUGGUGGGAUUGGUCCCAUUACCACUGGGCAGGGUUGAAAGUCCUGACUUUCUGCUAGGCCUUCUCUGACUUCAUCGCAGCAGGAGGAAAAGAUGCCUCUGGAGUUGAAGUCAGGUUGCACUGACACUGUGUGUGUAUGGAGGUAGGCUGGGGUGAAAGUGGAGACUCAUUACCACAUGGUGAGUAGUUUCCAGCUCUCUAUUUGGCCUUCUCUGAUACCACCCAGACAGGGACAUUGGGGAUACCUCAUUACAGCCUAGUGAGGGUCAAACUCUAGGCUCCCCACUCAGUCUUUGCUAUCAUGGACACUGUAGGACCAUAGUUUUUUCUGUGCUGUUUGCUUGAUGUGUCUUCCUUGGACCCUGAGUUCCAUAGCUGGUCUGCAUUCCUCUCUCCACCUUUAAGACGUCUUCUUAUGUUUAUUUCAUAUUUAACAUCCAGGGUGGUAAUUAGAGGGAAGAAUAGAGGGAAAAGUACAGUUGCACUUUGUUGUUCAAAGAGCAGUUUUGAACUGCACAGACCCAUUUCUCUGAGCACACCCAGGGAUGAUUGUACUUGUAUAAAAUUUUUUUCCUGGAUGCAGAAUUCUCAAUUGACUGUGAAAGUUCAUAACAAAGAAAACAGUGGGGAAGACAAAUCUGGAAAUGAGGAAAAUAAAAAUUAAAUAGUGAGACCACCCAUGGAGCUUGUGGCAAAGCCUGAAUUGAAUCCGCUGUAUCUUAAGAUUGUGCCUCAUUCUAAAUUUAAGUCACCCUUCUCAUUAUGAAAGUGUCACAACUUCUCAGUAGGUGAGGAGACAGUCUAAAUUUGAGAAAAGAAAGUUACAACAAAGGUUUUGAGCAAGCUGCUAAGUGGAUUUAUUCAUGUUUGAGAAAUCAAAUAUAUGGUUAAUGAGCUCUUUAACUAGAAGCCAACACUAGGGAGGAGUAGACAGAAGUCACGGGGAGGGAGCCCCCGGACAUUUCAAAAGACUUUGCCCUGCAACAUCUCCUCCACAUUUAAGCUUUUAGGUUAUUGUAGCCACAUCACAAGCAUGUUACCUACCCAGAUAUUGUCUGCGCAUCAUUCCCAAAAGCUUCCCUGGGUCUUCAUAAUAUUAAUGAGAUUCUCCCCCAGGUUAGACCCCUUUGGCUUGAGUCAGAAACAGAAUUAAUCCGGGGGACAAUCCAGCAGCACCCAUCUCUGGGUUGCAGAAAUAUCUGAGGUGACCAGGCAGUGUUUGGAGUCCCCUCAGUUAGCUAACAAAGUGAGUUCACAGCUUCCAAGACCCCAGGCUUUCCAGGCUAAUAAAGAGCUGAGGUUAUAGGCUCUCCUUAUCAAACGCUCUUUGGCAGCUGCCAUAACCAUUCCAAGUCUAGUCCUAGAAUAGAAAUGACGCGGUUUCAGGAGCUGACAGAUGGAACUUUAAGCCUUCCUUCCUGCCACAUCUGAAGUUCUUUUUUAAAAAAAUAGAAAACCAUGACAAUAAACACUCCUUGAAUGCCCUGUGGAAAAGUGUACUCCUCAGAAUUCACUAAAGUGGGGUGAAGCAGUGGGUUGUGGUGCUGAGAAAACAUCUCUUCCCCUCGGCAGUAUAUUGGAAUCUCAUAGAAACUUCUGUGGCUGGGAAGCAAACAUGCUCUCUGCCCCAUUGCUCUUAUUCAUCUUUAGACCUGAUAAUACAGUUUGAACUUCAAGUUGCACUUUAAAUGGCAUGCAUUUUUA